rnacentral:rRNA from 1 species
UACAGAGGUCCCAAGCGUUGUCCGGAUUCACUGGGCGUAAAGGGUGCGUAGGUGGCCGGGUAAGUCUGACGUGAAAUCUCCGAGCCUAACUCGGAAACUGCAUCGGAUACUAUCCGGCUUGAGGGUUGGAGGGGGGACUGGAAUACUUGGUGUAGCAGUGAAAUGCGUAGAUAUCAAGUGGAACACCAGUGGCGAAGGCGAGUCCCUGGACAACUCCUGACACUGAGGCACGAAAGCUAGGGGAGCAAACAGG